GGCGGGGCCAGGCCGGGGGGGCUGGAUUCACCGGUAUCGAUUAGAGCUGCCCGGGUGGCCGAGGACGUGCAGAAGCUCGGUCGCAGCUGCCAGACCAUGCUGAGUGGAGUGUGCGCCCGGCUCGCGUCAGCGCUGCGAGGGACACGCGCGCCGCCGUCCGCGGUCGCCCUGAGGUGUCUGCACGCGUCCAGCUCGCGGCAGUCCGCGGACAAGAGCGAUAGGACGGAGAAACCGCCCCGCGCCUUCGACCAGGCCUUGCUGGAGUUCCUGGUGUGUCCGCUCUCCAAGAAGCCGCUCAGGGCUCACAGGAAGAUGGCAUUGCCCGGCCUCCCUGCAGUUAGGUGGAGCCAUGUGACCAGGUUCCAGCUAAUGGAAUGUGAGGGAAGGUGCCUCCUACCUCAACCCUCUUUGGACUUUGGUGUGGGAAAAAAAUCUUUACUGUGUGAAUAAGCCAUUGAGAUUUCAAAGCUGUUUGGAGGAGCUUAUGUUUGGAAGAGGUAAUCAAGACGAUGUUGCCCCUUGAACUGGACCUGGGCAAUCAAAGCCUCCUCACCCACUCCCACGUGUUUGGAAUGUAUGCUCUGCCCACUGUUCCCACAGUUGGUGUGUUCCAAGGACCCUGCCUUCAGAGAGUAAGGUAUUCUGAGACCAUCUGGAUGGUAUAUGUGACUGAACCCAGCAGUUAAUGCCUCUGUAUGAACUUGAAGAUUCCAGGGUUUGGGUGUAGAGACCUACUCAUCUUGAUGUCACCCAAGACAAACCUUGGACCCACAACAGUAUAAAGAUGAUUUUAAACCGAAGACAUCAGAGAUACAGCUAAUAGAAGAAUGAACGGAAAGAAGCUUUCAGAGCUUUCCUCAUCUGACUAAAUGCAGAGACUUCAAGAAUGAAGCAGCCAUAAAUUUCCUCCUAACUGGGCAGGCAAGUGAGUAACACUGCCAGGGAAAAGACCCUGCACUUGAGCUUGGAUGAGAAAUUGCAUAAACAAACAUUACUGCAAACUAUCUUAUGUUCCAUGUAUCCGCCUAAAAGCCCCUCUGUUUCCCUGGAAAGUUCAUUUGUUUUCUCACAGAAGCCCUUUCUAUCCUUUCCCUAAAAUUAGUGUAUAAACCCUUAUUCCUAGCUGUUCUGUACAAGAGUAGAACUUUUCUUUUCUGUCAAUCCAUCUAUUGUUACUUGGUAGGUCCCCAAACAUAUGAAUUCCAUAAUGCUCUUUUCAUAAGUUAUACUUCUUAAACAUUGUUUUUCUCAUACUGAAAAAAAAAAAAUACUGUAUCUACUGUACAAUUAAGCAUUCAGUAACAAAGGUGUGUCUAGUCAAAGCUAUGGUUUUUCCAGUUGUCAUGUAUGGGUGUGAGAGCUGGCCUAUAAACAAAGCUAAGCGCUGAAGAACUGAUGCUUUUGAAUUGUGGUGUUG